UCCUGGUUUUCAUGCAGGCUGCCCAGGUUCAAUUCUUGAGCAGAGAAUUAAGAUCUGGCUUCAAACUGUCACCCCCGGCUCUCUCCCCACAGGCGCUAUGGGGGUGGGAGCGCCGUGGGAGGAGCCUGACCACGUGGAGGCUGUGCCUGCAAUUCCGGCGACUGCCACCAGAGGGGCAGCUGCGGACUCUCUUCUCUUCACCCCAAGCCAUUAUGGUCACCAUGGCAACCAGGCUGUGUUCCAACAGGUUAGCAGAACCUGCCAAUGACGCGAGACUGCAGGCUUUGGGGGGGCAUCAGCUCCAAGAUCCUGGCUCAGGACCUGCCAAAUCCCCAGGGAAGGACAUUGGCUGUCCCUCCCCUGGUCCCCAAACCUGCAGAAGGGCAUCGGGGGCUGCUGGUGCAUGGGGUCCGGGUCUCCCUCCCUGCUCGCCUGACUCAUCUUCCCAGCCCUUGUGUUUUUCCUGA
rnacentral:lncRNA from 1 species